GAUGAACGCUGACAGAAUGCUUAACACAUGCAAGUCAACUUGAACUUCGGUUUGGGUGGCGGACGGGUGAGUAACGCGUAAAGAACUUGCCUCACAGAUAGGGACAACAUUUGGAAACGAAUGCUAAUACCUGAUAUUAUGAUUUUAGGGCAUCCUAGGAUUAUGAAAGCUAUAUGCGCUGUGAGAGAGCUUUGCGUCCCAUUAGCUAGUUGGAGAGGUAACGGCUCACCAAGGCGAUGAUGGGUAGCCGGCCUGAGAGGGUGAUCGGCCACAAGGGGACUGAGACACGGCCCUUACUCCUACGGGAGGCAGCAGUGGGGAAUAUUGGACAAUGGACCAAGAGUCUGAUCCAGCAAUUCUGUGUGCACGAUGAAGUUUUUCGGAAUGUAAAGUGCUUUCAGUUGGGAAGAAAAAAAUGACGGUACCAACAGAAGAAGUGACGGCUAAAUACGCG
rnacentral:rRNA from 1 species